rnacentral:rRNA from 1 species
AACGAACGCUGGCGGCAUGCCUAACACAUGCAAGUCGAACGAGACCUUCGGGUCUAGUGGCGCACGGGUGCGUAACGCGUGGGAACCUGCCCUUAGGUUCGGAAUAACUCCCCGAAAGGGGUGCUAAUACCGGAUAAUGUCUUCGGACCAAAGAUUUAUCGCCUUUGGAUGGGCCCGCGUUGGAUUAGCUAGUUGGUAGGGUAAAAGCCUACCAAGGCGACGAUCCAUAGCUGGUCUGAGAGGAUGAUCAGCCACACUGGGACUGAGAAACGGCCCAGACUCCUACGGGAAGCAGCAGUGGGGAAUAUUGGACAAUGGGCGAAAGCAUGAUCCAGCAAUGACGCGUGAGUGAUGAAGGCCUUAGGGUUGUAAAGCUCUUUUACCCGGGAUGAUAAUGACAGUACCGGGAGAAUAAGCUCCGGCUAACUCCGUG